rnacentral:lncRNA from 1 species
UCCUUUCAUUACAAAUAAUGAUAAUUACAUUAUUCUUUACAUCUUACAAGAGUGCCUUUCAUCCACCACUAAGGAUACAUAAUAGUUCAUUAAACUAAUCUGAAGUUCAUUUAACUUAUUUUAUAUUACAAGUCUUCGCUCGAUCUUCUCGCUCAUCCACAUUCUGAAUGGCACUUCAUCUGGAUAUCGUCAGCUUGAUCUUUACGGGAUCCUUAAGUUCUUCUAACAUCGUACGCUGGUUUUUCAUUUAAAACAUGUGUGAGCAUUCAAUUGCUCAGCAAGUCAUAGCAGUUGAACAAACAACUACAAGAAUUUAAACAUUCUUUUAAGACUUCGAUAACCGAACAAAGGUUAUGAAGCAGCUGGAAUAAUAGGAAUAAUCUCGAUUCCUAUCAUUUUAAAACAUUAGUUACAUUCAUUUUAAAAUACUUUCAUUAUUCUACCUUUUUCAUACACAUUAUGUCUGGCUAAAAUCAUUAGCACAGACUUAACAAUAAUGGAUCAUGUAUAAACAGAGCAUUCUCUUAUUGAACAGUUAAAUCCUAGAACAGUUCAUCUCAUAGAAACAUCAAAGUGUUCACAUUGUGGCACAAGGUCUCAUACUUUCUACCACCUUGUACAAAUAUCACACAUUCGCACAUAGACAGAACUUCUCAAGUUCAACAUCUGAGAAGUUUUAGAAACUAGCAUUCAUUUAAAAUAUGAAUAAAGUUAGGAAACUUGCUUUAUGUACAGCUAUAGCUUACGCUGAACUGCUCAUUCCAGUUCCUAUGUAGCACAUAAGAAAAAAAACACAUACCCCAAUUAGUCAUGUAUAUUUGACUUAUGCAUUAGUUUGCAUAACUAUACUUCUUAGGGUUCGCGUUCUUGCAACCUAAGUUUACGCGACCACUUUCAUUACCAUUCUACGGCUUCAUGACAUACGAAGAUUUCUUACUUAUACGUUCAUCAUCUUUGAUGAUUUACAUUCUUAUAACUUCUUUAGGACUCAGCACACAUCGCUUCUCUGCUAGUAGUCCAUAUGGUACUCUGAGUGGUUUCCCACAAACAACCAACAAACAAGUUCCCGUCUCGUCUACACUGCCAUCACAGUGAGUUAGAUCGGUUGCCAGUUUUGUAUAUACCUUCGCUCUCUGAAGGAAUUGUUUAGCCCAGCUCCCAUAUGUUAACCAUCAAAGGUUACGAUUGCACCACAACCUAACUUAUCCGAACUAUUAAACUAUAAUCUUCGUUAAGUCAAUUUCUCAUUCCUUAUGGCUUCCUGGCAAUUAAAUGCUACACCUCAGGAUUCACUCUUUAUCGUCUAAGUCAUACAGUCUUUUGUAUACUCAGAGCGAUCAUUCAAGUUAAUCAUUACUCAGCUUUAUUACGUUAAACGUUAUUGUCUUUAAUUCAGUCUUUUACAGUUCAUGGUUUAAUCAUUGAUCUUCAUUAUCUUACGGUCAAACCAUACACGGGGUGUAGGUUCUAUCCGCUUAAUAUUUGUGUACACUCAACUUUCACAUUGGUUAAGAUGUUUCAUACUUACAAUUCAUUCUAUCAUUUUUUUUCUAUCCGAAUCACGAUCGGCUUUCAUUAAUCUUAUUACCAUUCAUUACGGAUUUCUUGUUACCAUUUUUAUCUUACUUAAUAUUUCGUUAUCCAUUACCUGAACCCCAUGUUCAUUACUCUUUCUUAAUGUCGAAGCCAUAUUGUUCAUUGUAUGCUAAGACUGCUUGCAACUGCGUUACGUAUAUGUUUAUGUUUAUUCUCUUCUUAAUCUUUUAAUCUCUUUCGACCAUUUCAUUCAACCUAUACUAAAGGUUUAAUUCACUUGUUUAAGUGUUAUUUUAGGUGAACUACAUGUUCAUAUUUCUUUCUUGCACAUCCCCCAGUAAUUAAGCACUUAAAAGCUCAUCAUUGGCUUUUUCCCUGCACCGGUGCCGCGGCGCCGGGUCCCUCUUUAUCACUCGCGCUGCAGCGCCACUCUGCAGUGUCUAACUGCCGAGUCUGGCACUGAGGCGCUGCCUCCCAAGGCACGGCUCGCGCUGCGGCGCCAAGCCUUCAUCCCUGAAAAAUUUUCUAAGUCUUAAAUCCAAUUUGAGACGCUUACUUCACACUUCCAUAACUUAUUCGUUAUAACAUAGAACGAGGUCGUUCCAAAGCCAUUCUCUUCCUUAUCUUACGUACUUCAAUCUCCUUUGGAUAGAACUUCAUUCUGAAUCCGUUAACAUGCUAUUCGAUUGGCUUAAUCUUCACCCUUCAUUCAUUUUACAUUUUUAACGCUCUUCGUUCGUUCAUCCGUAAUUCGGUCAUCCGAAUUUGGAAUUCAUUCGUUCUUGAGUCCACGACACACGUUUUCUAUGUUCUCUUACAUUCUUAUGAAACCCUACACGUUCAGGUUUAUUUACUAACUUUCUAAUUCUCGUUUGUCUUUUACAAAAUUUUCGCCAUAACUUCGUUAUAGCUCAGUUUUAAUCCGUUCUUCAUGAACGUUUCUACCAUUCCUAACCAAGCAACAAGCAUCUAACUUAUACGCGAUGGUUUUAAACUUGUCCAUCAACAACAAUUAUACUACGAUGGUUUUAAAUUUGUCCAUCAACAACGUUCUUCGUGUUCUUCGCGUGUUCUUCAUGUUCUUUGUCCGUUCUUCAUUUUAAUCAAUAUUUUGGAUUAAGAUUUCACUUUUUAUUGGAAUUUGAUGUUAUAGAACAUCAUUCCUUACUUAUUUCACCUACUUAUUUAUAUAAUCCACUCGGAUCGUUCUAAUUCAUUAAGAAUCUUAUACUUCCUUAAGAAAUUUAUAAAAUAAACUUCUAAUCCUUAUUUCUUCAUUUUCUUACGAUUUCAACCAUAUGAAAUCAUUCCUACAUUCUUUUACUCUUUAUUCUCAUUAAGCUAUGUUAUUAACAUAUAUGACUUAAAGAGAAAUUAAAUUCGACUAGGUUUUAGGUUACCUCUCUUCUUUAUUUUUCUUCCGCUAGACAAAGUCGGUGAUUCGCAAGCUUUUCUAUUCCAUGAUCACCUUCGAUCCGAUCAUUCAUAAUCAUUCUCUUCCUUCUUCUAUCUUCAUCUGAACCCCCCCUCUCUCUCUCU